AGAUCCCAGGACCCCAGGAUCACGACCUGAGUGGAAGGCAGCCGCUCAACCACUGAGCCACUCAGAAAGGUACCAAAAAUUAAAAGCAAAGAUGCUCAAAUCAGCUGGAGUGCUCCUGGGCAGAUGUUCCUAAGUGCAAUCUGUUUAAUGGGAAAGACCUUUCAGGGGGGAAGGGCAGUCACGCUGCAGCUCCACCGGAGGGGCCACCAGCAGGAUGCUCGUUCCUCCCAGGCUGUUGGCUGGAGGCCUCCCUCAGUUCCUUGCCACUUGGACCUCUCCGUAAGGCGGCUCCUACCUCAGUAGAAGACUUCUCUUGGAAUGAGCCAGCAAGAGAAGAAGAUGGAAGUUCCAGUCUUCUAAUAACCGCACCUCAGAAGUGACAUCCCAUCACUCCAUUCAUUAGAAGCAAGUCACUGGGCUUGGCCACGCUCCUGGGGAGGGGACUGCAUACAGACAUGAAUAGCAGCCAUUUUAGCAGCCACCUACCAGCAUCUUCUGAAUCACAGCUUCCUCAUCUGCCACAAGCAUUCUUGUCUUCUCCAUGUAACGAGUUCACCUGGGCAGGCCAGCAGUCACUCAACUUCUCUGUCUAUGAACCACGUCCUGACGAGGAAGAAGUGAAUCUAUGAGAGCCAUCACUUAUAAGUGUCCCAAAGAGAAACUGAGGCACAGAAAGGGCAAAGAUCCAGGCUACCCAGGAGACAUGCAUCAGACAAAUCACAUCGGAGGGUCAUUUGACAAUAUACCUGGCCCGUCUUCCUCAGAAUUGUCAAGGUCGUCAAAAACAAGGCAAGUGUGAGAAACGUUCACAGCUAAGAGGAGCCUAGAGAGACAUGACAACCACCUGUAAUAUGAAAUCCCGGAUGGGAUCCAGGCACUGGAGAAGGACAUUAGUUUCUUCAAUGCCCAGCUACUUUCAGACCCAUCUAGAAGAAAAUGGAAGAGAAGAACUUUCUAUAACUCAGCGGGUCCAGACUCGGGAGGUGAAGAAAGAAACAGGCCACAGGUUCUUGCUGUUGUCCAUGUAAGAAAAUGAAGUGAUAGGAGGAAAAGAGACAAAUUUUGCAUGGGAAGAAUGCACCGAUAUGCUCCUGAUUUUAACCCAAACCAUUUGCUGAGGCAGGUCAUGUUAAUCCUUCUGGGACCCAGUUUCUUCUUCUAGAAAAUGAGAGGUCUAGACGAAGCAAUCUCUAAGCCCCUUCUAUACUUGGACAUCCUAGGAUCUAGUUUACGAUCAAUGGAAACAGGGCAGGGGAUCCCAUCUAGAAGACAAGCUAGUGGAAGUGCAGUCAUAGGACAUUUUAGGAACAGAAUCAGAAACUCACAUUGUACCUGUUCUGGUGACCUGCGAAGUCACAGGUCCCUUUUCUACAAGAAAAGGAUGUUCAAGUGAUCAUUUAAUUCCCUGAGGACUAUUCAGCAAAUGCCCACUGGCUUUAUCAUGCUACCCUAGGUAGUGGGUUAGAAUCAAAAGGGAUAUUGGAGACAUCAAAAAUGUAUAACCAAUUCUUUAAGAGUUUUCAAGCUACUAUUAGCUCACUCUAUAUAGUCAGAUCCAACAAUUAAACACACACAUUAGGUCAACUGCUGCAUCCUGCACGUAAAUAUCCUGGAAUGAAGAUACACACGUAAGCAUAUGUACAUGUAGUGUGCACAGACCACCUGCCCUAACCCACCCAGUGUCUCCAUUUGCCUUAUCAGGGAAGAUAUCCUGGAGGAAGCAGGCUCUGAGGGAUAAGUAUCCUCUAGGAUGCACUAUAAGACUCAGUGCAGCUGCAAAACUGUGGGAAAUCAAAGUCUUUGAUGGAGUCUUCAUCCAGAUUGGGGCAUUGGGGAAUGCAGGGUCCAAGGGGUUGUCUUCACCAAGCUCCUCCCACUUUGUUCUGUUCUCCCUCCUUUCCCCUCUCCUCCUCACCCCAUUCCCUGUAAGCACUCCUCUCCCCCUCUCGCUGUACACCACCAUGUCUUGGACUCUUCCUCAAGGCAGCAAAUUACUCCUAUCAUUUUUAAAAAUGUAAUCAACUACAUCUGAUCCAGCAGAUGCUUUUGUGAGGAUGGGUUUAAAAAAAAAAAAAAGGUUGAAAAAAGUGGAUAAAAUAUAAAUUAAAAAAGAAGAAUGGGUCUGGUUACAAUCAAUAACCCUAGAAUUAUUGACUCCUCUUCCCAUUACACUGUGAUGCCUCUGUAAUCUUGCUGGCAGAUUCUAUAAAGGACGCAUCUGUGCAAGAUGAGAUGUCCAUUGUCAAAAGUUAUAAUUCUCUCCAGCACAACUCCCGUAACAGCAGCCAGGCAGUUUCUGCAGAGCGAUCUGGUGUCUGGGAACCACACGACAUCACUCUCUAAAACCCAUUUUGUGUCUCUGCCCUGGGGCCAUCGCUGUCCUUAGCAAGUUGGCAGGAGGAAAGGAGGUAGAACCCGAAGCUGAGCUUGGCCUAGCUUCGUGUCCUGAGUUCAGGCAUUGCGGGCUUUCCUUUGACCUUGCAAAUCCCUUCUUGGAUUUAGCUCUACCCUCGGUAGAGCUAAAGUCUUACUGGAAACAAGUGGAUUAUUCAUUCAGAAUAAAACCUGAAACGAAUCU